AUUGAACGCUGGCGGCAUGCCUUACACAUGCAAGUCGAACGGCAGCACGGGUGCUUGCACCUGGUGGCGAGUGGCGAACGGGUGAGUAAUACAUCGGAACGUACCUUAUCGUGGGGGAUAACGCAGCGAAAGCUGUGCUAAUACCGCAUACGCCCUGAGGGGGAAAGCGGGGGAUCGUAAGACCUCGCGUUAAUGGAGCGGCCGAUGCCGGAUUAGCUAGUUGGUGAGGUAAAGGCUCACCAAGGCGACGAUCCGUAGCUGGUCUGAGAGGACGACCAGCCACACUGGAACUGAGACACGGUCCAGACUCCUACGGGAGGCAG
rnacentral:rRNA from 1 species